GAUGAACGCUGGCGGCGUGCUUAAUACAUGCAAGUCGAACGAAGCACCUUGGACAGAAUCCUUCGGGAGGAAGACCAUUGUGACUGAGUGGCGGACGGGUGAGUAACGCGUGGGUAACCUGCCUUGUACAGGGGGAUAACAGUUGGAAACGACUGCUAAUACCGCAUAAGCGCACGGUAUCGCAUGAUACAGUGUGAAAAACUCCGGUGGUAUAAGAUGGACCCGCGUCUGAUUAGCUAGUUGGUGAGGUAACGGCCCACCAAGGCGACGAUCAGUAGCCGGCCUGAGAGGGUGAACGGCCACAUUGGGACUGAGACACGGCCCAAACUCCUACGGGAGGCAGCAGUGGGGAAUAUUGCACAAUGGGGGAAACCCUGAUGCAGCGACGCCGCGUGAGUGAUGAAGUAUUUCGGUAUGUAAAACUCUAUCAGCAGGGAAGAUAAUGACGGUACCUGACUAAGAAGCACCGGCUAAAUACGUG
rnacentral:rRNA from 1 species